rnacentral:rRNA from 1 species
UACAGGGAGGGUAGUGACAAGAAAUAACAAUACAGAACCUUACGGUUUUGUAAUUGGAAUGAGUUAAGUAUAAACCCCUUAACAAGUAUCAAUUGGAGGGCAAGUCUGGUGCCAGCAGCCGCGGUAAUUCCAGCUCCAAUAGCGUAUAUUAAAGUUGUUGCAGUUAAAAAGCUCGUAGUUAAUUUUCUGUUAAUUUUUAUAUAUAAUAUCUCGAUAUUUAUAUAAUAUUAACAUAAUUCAUAUUACUUUUUAGUAUAUGAAACUUUACUUUGAGAAAAUUAGAGUGCUUAAAGCAGGCUAUUGCCUUGAAUACUCCAGCAUGGAAUAAUAUUAAGGAUUUUUAUUCUUCUUAUUGGUUCUAGAAUAAAAAUGAUGAUUAAUAGGAACAGUUGGGGGCAUUUGUAUUUAACAGUCAGAGGUGAAAUUCUUAGAUUUGUUAAAGACAAACUACUGCGAAAGCAUUUGCCAAGGAUGUUUUCAUUAAUCAAGAACGAAAGUUAGGGGAUCGAAGACGAUCAGAUACCGUCGUAGUCUUAA